GUGCCUCCAACCAAGUCAGUUGGGCCAGGGAAAUACCGUCCUGACCUGGGCCACCUCCUGGGGACUGGCUCUUGUGUUGAUGGAGCUACUGCCACCCUGAGCCUGGGGAUGGGGUUCCCAAUGAGGAGCAAAGUUGGCAUGUGUCUUGGUGUCAGCAUUUGAGGGUGAAAUCACACCAAGCCUGACAUAGGCACCCCUGGGCAUUUUGGCUUUUGGGAGCCAUGACAUUCCCCUUUUGUGUUAGCCAGUUUUGGCUGGGUUUUCUGUCAUUUGUAACCAAGAGAGUCCUCAGUGAUACACGUCACCACCAACAAUACUCCAUGUGGUCAAAUCAGCUUUUUCAAUAGGUUUUUAUUGAAAUGGUUAUAUUAGCAAAUUCUGCACAUACGGGUGUACACUGUUGGCAUAUAGGUAUAUACCAUACAAUUUCACUACUUGAUUAUACUUACACCAACCAUGCAGACCAAGGAGCUGUGCUGCCCAGAACAUUUCAAAGGGUUGAUGAGAUCUGAUUGUCAAGAACCAGCUCACACUCUACUUGUAGGUGUUUGUGUUCCAGACAAGAAAACUCCCCCGACAGGGAGGCCCGAAACUGAGCUAAUCGUCAGUUUUGCUUCUUGAAUAUUGACUGUUCUUUCUGGCACAAGCUAUCCAAUGAAUUAAAUUAAAAUUUUAAUUAAAAUUCAAGUGCAUAGUUUCCUUUUCAUCCCUCAAGGUGGAAGAUAAAUCAUUUGCCACAUUUAGGUAUAUCCCAAGCCUCCCCACCCCCACAUUACCUGUGCUAUAGUUAGAAAAAUAGUUUUGUACGCCAUCUUCUGAGAUGUUGUGCAUAGUGAGCAGGAACCUAGAGUACGGUGGGCUCUUUCAAUGACCCAAAUAUGAAAGGGGCAACUUUAAUAUUUUAUGAGUAUAAAAGCUACGGAGGGUCCAAAACAACUGUGACAUAUGUGGCCUAGGGCUUGCACCAGCUCCUCCUCCUGUACAGGAACAGGAUGCUUCCAUCAGGUGAGAAUGUUCUCCAUACCUCAAAUCUCAUUUCCUAGCUUGGAGCCUUUUCCUGUUUUUGUAAUCACACGGGACAAGUUUUCUUUUUAGACAGAGUUAUUGCCUCUCUGCAGCAGAUCUGGUCCCAAGCCCCAGUCAGGAGAUCCCCUCCUGCAGCUGGCUCAGCAAGCCAGGCCCAGGCUGUCUGGAGAACGCCUGGAGACAGCACCCUCUCUGCUUCUCUCCAGGAUGGCAUGUGUCAUCUCAGGCUGGGCACUCAGCAGAGGUGCCAGGACCUGGACCUGGGCCACACCUACUGGCCCAGUCCACAGAGCACAGCCAGCAAUCCGCAGCCUUUCUGCUGAAGGAGCGCUUACUCGCCUGAAGGAAGAGAAAUGGCCAGGACGGUAUAUUCUACCUAACCACCUCACCCCACCGUUUCUUUACAAACAUCUUGGUUCAGUACCUCCCAGUCAUUGGAGAAGUCCUUUAAUAUCACAUAGUGUAAAUAUACUUGCACUUAAUUGGAGAUAAAGGCUGUUCCAAAAGCAAAUUUGAAUUCACUCUGUGUUGGGUUGAAUUUGUAAACCACAGCUCAGAACCAGUCUGUGACGCUCCGCAGAUGUCGGUGGCUAUAGAGAGAGGUGGCUAGGGAAGGCGAUGAUCCGCGGAUGGGUGGGGAACUGAGGAGGCCAAGUCAGCUUUGCCAGGCCACCAUGUGCCGCCAGGAGCUGGGCAGCCUGAGGAGAGCAAAGAUGGGCCGGGAGCCUCCACCUCAACUGACAGGAGACUGCUCACCACAUGCCCUCCGAGUUCCCACAGGAGAAUGCACGUGCGCUGGGCAAGGUGCCACCCUCGGCUCGGGACGGCAGCCUUGGCGUCUGGCUACGGGCGCCGCUUUCACAGGGGUGGCUGGGCCGCCUAGAGCUUUUGUGGUACAGAGAGGAGGGGCCAACAGGAGGAACUCCACAGCCCAGGCGGAGGUCUGAGCAGGCCAGCAGCACCGAAUCCUUCUGAAAGCUUGAAACUCAAGUUGCAGGACGUUCAAAGGUGCUUUUUUUUUUUUCUUUUCCAUAAAGGAUCUUCCUUCUUCCCCAAGUUAGAGUGAAGAAAACAGGAAAAAAAUACCUUCAGCUUAGGGUGGAAAAGGAAGGAAAACCCAAGAUGAGUGCAGGUGACGACCGGGCGGCGGGAGACCCUCUCAGCCUCUCUUCUUCCAAGCUCAGUUUCUUGAGAUCUUCCAGGAUACCCACAAAAAAGAGGGUGAACCUUUAACAAUGCCCCAGAGGAGCUUCGUGGCUACAGGGGGCCUCCUGACCCCCAACCCAGCCCUCUCAGCCAGGCCUCAGGAGGCUAGUGUGACCUCAAAACUCAGAGCCCCCGUGAGACACAGGGCCAGCCAGUCCCAUGCCUUGCAAAGGGGAACGUUCCUCCCAGGUGUGGAUUUGGGGGCUCACGCUUUGCUUUCCCUGUAGUUGCCUCGGACAGUAAGGAAAGGAAUUCCAAGGAGCAGACAUAGGCACCUUGUCCCCACCUGCCUUCUUCCGGUGUUUUUUUCUGAUGCUACAAUACUUCAAACACACAGGGCUUCUCCCAGUCCUUCUGCAAGGCUCUUAACCAUAGCCCAGGGAGCUGUGUGAAUAUUACAAUCAACAGCCUUUCCUAAUGGGCUGAAAGGAGGGUGUGUCGAAGCUUUGGAAUGCUUUACCAACAAGGCCAAAAUACAAGACAAAACUCCACGCCCCUCAUAUGUAACAACUGCCCUAACCAGACCUGGGAGGGGAAGGUGCCUAUUUUAAGCUGUGGGUAUCGCCCUGCGAUGAGUCCUUACUCAUCUUCCCACACUCCCUGACAGUGUGAGCCAAUGUUGACUUUAGUCACAUUAAACUCUGCUUCCGGGUGACACUGAACACACGAGAGGAAGUGAGAGCUAGUUGGACAGCCUUUCUUGAAGAAGGAAAUCAUACUCAAUUGCUUUUCUAAAUCCAUUGCCUUCAGUAGCUCCUUCUGUCCACACUUUAAAUGUCAGUGUCCCCAGGGCUUUAUCCCAAGCCCCAUCCUCAUGUCACUGGGUGGUCCCAGCCCCACUCUGGCUUCCACCUCCAUCUGAACUCAGGGACACCUCUCCUGGCCAGCUCCCCUUGGGAGAUUCUGCCUCCAGCGCAUGGGAGGGUAUGCAUGCCUGUGGGGGUGUUUUGGGGGAGGGAGGAGGAAGGAGGAGAUUUGGGUGACAUAGAUAUUGUGAUUACAUGGAGAUACUUCAGCAGGACAAGAUGGUAUGUCCACUUAAAAACACAGCUUCUGACCGGGCGUGGUGGCUCAUACCUGUAAUCCCAGCACUUUGAGACACUAAGGCGGGAGGGUCACUGGAGCCCAGGAGUUUGAGGCUAGCCUGGGCAACAUGGAGAAGCUCUGUCUCUAAAAAAAAUUUUUAAAAAUUACCUGGGUGUAGUGGCAUGCGUGUGUAGUCCCAGUUACUCGGGAGGCAGAGGUGGGAGGAUUGCUUUAGCGCUGGAAGUUGAGGCUGCAGUGAGCCAAGAUUACACCACUGCACUCCAGUCUGGGCAACAGAGUGAGACCCUGUCUCUAAAUAAAAUUAAAAAACAGGCUGGUGCGGCUCACACCUGUAAUUCCAGCACUUGGGAGGACGAGGCAGGUGGAUCAUUUGAGGUCAGGAGUUUGAGACCAGCCUGGCCAACGUGGUGAAACCUCGUUUCUACUAAAAAUACAAAAAAUUAGCUGGGCGUGGUGGCAUGCAUCUGUAAAUCCAGCUACUCGGGAGGCUGAGGCAGGAGAAUCACUUGAUCCUGGGAGGCGGAGCUUGCAGUGAGCCGAGACGGCGCUACUGCACUCCAGUCUGGGCGACAGAGUGACACCCUGUCUCGAAAUAAAACAAACAAACAAACAAAAAACCCACAGCUUCGCAGGCAUUCUGAUGCAGGGGUCUGCAGCCUGGCCACCUUACCCCCACUGCACCUCCACCUGGGCACCAGUGCGGUUCCUUUUCUUUCCAAACAGAGACAGGAGUCUGGUCUCCCUGGCAAGCCUUCCCUGCCCAGGAAGUGCUGCCCUCGCCUCCUGGCCACUGUCCCCGCCUUGUCUUGACUGUUCCCUUGGGCCUCUCUAUGGCUGCAAUGCCUCUCCUCCACCUGUGCCCUGGAAGUCCCUCCUCAUCCAGAUUCACCCUCUUAUCAUUCGCUCUCACACCCCAGUUGCUUGAUAACGUGCCCAUGAACAGCCAACAUCUUAAUGGUCACAGAUUCACCCCAACUUCAAGCAUGUGUUUGGCACAGAGUGAGAGCUUAAUAAAAGUUUGCUGGCGAUAUUAACUGUAGAAUCCCACUUCUCUAAAAUCAGUGUUUUUGUUUCAUGACAUUUAUGAGCAGCAACCACUUGUCAAGGAGCCACACUGUCACUUGCCAGUGGUUAAUGUCAACCACCGACAUUAACGUCACCUCGUUUUCCUAUAGCAGAGCCAAUGCCUCAAUAAUAAAGGUUAACGGCGAGAGAACACUUUGAGUUUUCUUCAGUUAAAACUAGCUUCAGCCGGGCGUGCGUGGCAUGAGCCUGUGGUCCCAGCUACUGGGGAGGCUGAGGCGAGGUCAAGGCUGCAGCGAGCCAUGACUGUGCCACUGCACUCCUGCCUGGGUGACAGAGCGAGAUCCUGCCUCUAAAAAAAUAAAAAUAUAAAAUACCAAUUUGAUUUAGCGUGUAGCUCGAACGGAUUGGAUGUGAGGGUAAUAAAAACAUGAGAAGAGCUUAUAAAGCCAAUAGAAAAUGUCAAGCUUGUAAAAUUCAGUAAUCUCGUUUUUAAAAAUACUUUUCCAAAUAUCAUCAGACUCACUGGCAGCUGGGGCUGUUGCCGCAUCAGGGAAGCCGGCAGGUGCCAGACCUCAGUGCUCAAGGCAGUGCCUCGUGAAUGUGCCUCGCAGCCAGGCCUGAGGACCACCAGGGGAGCUGGGGCCUCUCUGCAAAAGCAAGGCUCAUCAGGGUUGUGAGGAGUUUUUAGCUGGGGGCAGAGCUUGUCUUCCCAAGAGGAGGGCAGAGGCAGGCAGCCCUGGGCAGACAUGCUUACCACCAUCAGUGGCUGCCAAGCUCUGCCUCCUGCGCUGGAAGCCCUGGCUAUCUGGCCUUCCCUCCCCUCCCUCUGGAUUAACAGGAAAGAGGGGUUACUCCUCCCUUAGGAUGUUAAAAGUCACCAAAGCUUGGCCAGGCGUGGUGGCUCAUGCCUGUAAUCCCAGCACUUUGGGAGGCCAAGGCAGGCGGAUCACGAGGUCAGGAGAUCGAGACCAGCCUGGCUAACACAGUAAAACCCCAUCUCUACUAAAAAUACAAAAAAUUAGCUGGGCGUCGUGGCAGGUGCCUGUAGUCCCAGCUGCUCGGGAGGCUGAGGCAGGAGGAUGGUGUGAACCCGGGAGGCGGAAGUUGCAGUGAGCCAAGAUCGCGCCACUGCACUCCAGCCUGGGUGACAGAGCAAGACUCCGUCUCAAAAAAAAAAAAAAUCACCAAAGCGGAAGCAUUUGCAUUUCAAUAGUCACAACCAACUCCCAGAGGAUGCUGAUGGCUGCCCUGGCCCUAGACUUGCUGAUCCUGCCACACAGGCCCAUGGUCUCCUCACCCGGGCACAGGCCCAGCUCACAGCAGUCCACUGGAGGCAGGGGGGUGGAUGUGUGGUGUAAAUAGCUGACUCCUCAGCCUCUUCCUUACUUCAAACAGUUCCCCCCUCAACAAUGACUGAGGUUAUCAUACAUUUCCUAAUAACCGCUGCUGGUGGCAAGACUUGCAACCACGGAGGCACUCACUCUCUGCACCCCAUCACACCUGCAGCAGGCGGAACACUGCUCCCCAAGCGCCUCAGGGAAGCGCUGCCCAUGUGGCGACGUGUGUCUUCACAAUGCUCACCGGACAAGCAGCCCCGGCCACUUCCUGCCAGGGUCCCGACUUAGCAGGGAUUUCCCCCAGCAUAGCAGCUAGUAAAGAGGCUGUUAUUUGGGAUUAAAAAAAAAAUGCCAUUCUUGGCUGGGCAUGGUGGCUCACAACUGGAAUCCCGGAACUUUGGGAGGCCGAGGUGGGGGUGGAUUGCUUGAGCCCAGGAAUUCAAGACCAGCCUGGGCAACAUGGCAAAGUCCCAUAUCUCUACAGAAAAUCCAAAAAUUAGCUGGGUGUGGUGGCACGUGCCUGUGGUGCCAGCUACUCGGUGGGCUGAGGUGGGAGGAUCACUUGAGCCCAGGAGGUGGAGGCUGCAGUGAGCCAAGGUUGCGCCACUGCCCUUCAGCCUGGGUGACAGAGUGAGACUGUCUCAAAACAAAAAUAAAAAUAAAAACCUGAAACCAAAAACCAAAUCAUCCUCUCUGUUCCUGAAGAGCAUGGCCUUAAUGAGAAGUUAGUGUCCCUCCUGACAAAGACAGGCCAUUCUGUAGCUGAGCCAGAGAGUGACCCCAAUUUUCCAGAAAAGGGUGUCAAGCCAGGAUCCACAGCACUGUUCUGAGUACGCUCCCCUGCAAGCAAUGCCUCCUUGUUAUUCUACCGUGAAUGUGUGCCCCAGAUUUCCCAGAAAUUCAAAUGUUAUAUUAAUAGACAGAUUCUAGGGGCCUGAAAUUUGUACUUCUUCUCACGUAAUUUCAUACCUUUUCAGUAAAGAAACUGUCUUGAGUGGAAUUUAACGUAUACACAUUGGUAAGACCUCAAAUCAGGAGAAAAUGCUACAUCAGGAUCUGCGUUUUGGUUUGGGAAAACAAGGAGGUGGUAUAGACAACACGGCAAUGAUCCGAACUGAGCUCUCCUACCUUUCAGGUGGGUCAAACACAUACAAAUGCAGACGCGUGUCUGGAACCUCCAGCAAAUGGGCUCCAGCUUCCUGCAGACUCACCCUCUCUCUGAGAGCCCAAUGGGGAAACCUGCUUUUCUGAACGAUGCUAUAUUGAAGCUGCUCAUUGAAAAUAUUUUUAUAGUACGAAGACUAUCAUAAAGAAAAACAAAACAAAAAAACCCCCAAAGCCCUUGGUAAAAGGUAAAACACAAAAGCUGCUAAGACCUUUAAAAUCUGCACCAUUCUAGCCUCAAAUGAGCGAAAACGAAAUGCCGCUGCCCGCUCUCUGACAAUGCUCCUGAAGCCUGUCCCCAUCCGGGGCUCUGCAGGUUUCCUUCAGGCACACCUGUG
rnacentral:lncRNA from 1 species